rnacentral:lncRNA from 1 species
AUAGCUGCCCUCAGACCCCUUGUGAAGUCCAAGAUCAUCAAAAAGAGAACCAAGAAUUUCAUCCAGCACCAGUUACACUGAUAUGUCAAAACUAAGUGUAACUGACAGAAACCCAGAGGUAUUGACAACAGAGUUUGUAGAAGGUUCAGCAACAAAAAACAAACCACAUGCUGCCCAGUGGCUUCCAGAAUUUCCUGGUCCGCAAUGUCAAGGAGCUGGAAGUGCUGCUGACGUGCAACAAGUGUGCUGAGAUUGCCCACAGUGUUUCCUCCAAGAACUGCAAAGACAUUGUGGAAAGAGCAGCCCAGCUGGCCAUCAGAGUCACCAAUCCCAAUGCCAGCCUGUGAAGAAAAUGAAUAG